AGUAAAUUCUUAAUUGGCUAUUUGAGCAUGUAUUUUUAUGUGUACCCGCAUUGCACGAAUGAUUCGCGAGCAGGGUGAUUGUUUAUUUUAUGUUGACUUCAUCUCAUGGAUAGUUCGCGAGCGGGGUAAUAGAUGCAUCUGUGGUUCGAGCUGUUCGACCCUCGGCAGUCACAGUUUGCUUUUAUGUAGGAUCCGGCCGUACGUCUCACGGUGAUUAUUUGCACAUGCUGGUAUUGUUGCCUUGAACUUAUUAAAGUUGUUAUUGCC
rnacentral:lncRNA from 1 species